rnacentral:rRNA from 1 species
AAUGAACGUUGGCGGCGUGGAUUAGGCAUGCAAGUCGAGCGCGAGGUUCUUUCGGGAACCAAAAGCGGCGAAAGGGAGAGUAACGCGUGGGAACCUGCCCCUGGGUCCGGAAUAGCUACGGGAAACUGUAGGUAAUGCCGGAUAAUGUCCCUGGACCAAAGGUGUGAUUCCACCUGGGGAUGGGCCCGCGUCCUAUUAGCUAGUUGGUGAGGUAACGGCUCACCAAGGCAAAGAUGGGUACCGGGUGUGAGAGCACGACCCGGCUCACUGGGACUGAGACACUGCCCAGACACCUACGGGUGGCUGCAGUCGAGAAUCUUCGGCAAUGGGCGCAAGCCUGACCGAGCGACGCCGCGUGCGGGAUGAAGGCCUUCGGGUUGUAAACCGCUGUCGGAGGGGAUGAAAUGCCAGGGAGUUAUCUCUUUGGUUUGACAGAUCCUAGGAGGAAGUACGGGCUAAGUUCGUGCCAGCCGCCGCGGUAA